CCUACGGGAGGCUGCAGUGAGGAAUAUUGGUCAAUGGGCGCGAGCCUGAACCAGCCAAGUCGCGUGAGGGAAGACGGUCCUAUGGAUUGUAAACCUCUUUUGCCGGGGAGCAACGGGCGUCACGUGUGGCGCCACUGAGAGUACCCGGAGAAAAAGCAUCGGCUAACUCCGUGCCAGCAGCCGCGGUAAUACGGAGGAUGCGAGCGUUAUCCGGAUUUAUUGGGUUUAAAGGGUGCGUAGGCGGAUCGUUAAGUCAGUGGUCAAAUUGAGGGGCUCAACCCCUUCCCGCCAUUGAAACUGGCGUUCUUGAGUGGAAGAGAAGUAUGCGGAAUGCGUGGUGUAGCGGUGAAAUGCAUAGAUAUCACGCAGAACCCCGAUUGCGAAGGCAGCAUGCCGGCUUCCGACUGACGCUGAAGCACGAAAGCGUGGGGAUCGAACAGGAUUAGAUACCCCAGUAGUC
rnacentral:rRNA from 1 species